UACAGAGGUCCCGAGCGUUGUUCGGAUUUAUUGGGCGUAAAGGGUGCGUAGGCGGCGGAGUAAGUUGGGUGUGAAAUCCUGGGGCUCAACCUCGGAAUUGCAUUCAAUACUGCUUCGCUCGAGUACUGGAGAGGAGGCUGGAAUUUACGGUGUAGCAGUGAAAUGCGUAGAUAUCGUAAGGAAGGCCGGUGGCGAAAGCGAGCCUCUGGACAGUUACUGACGCUGAUGCACGAAGGCCAGGGGAGCAAACGGG
rnacentral:rRNA from 1 species